GGUUAAGCGACUAAGCGUACACGGUGGAUGCCCUGGCAGUCAGAGGCGAUGAAGGACGUGCUAAUCUGCGAUAAGCGUCGGUAAGGUGAUAUGAACCGUUAUAACCGGCGAUUUCCGAAUGGGGAAACCCAGUGUGUUUCGACACACUAUCAUUAACUGAAUCCAUAGGUUAAUGAGGCGAACCGGGGGAACUGAAACAUCUAAGUACCCCGAGGAAAAGAAAUCAACCGAGAUUCCCCCAGUAGCGGCGAGCGAACGGGGAGCAGCCCAGAGCCUGAAUCAGUGUGUGUGUUAGUGGAAGCGUCUGGAAAGGCGUGCGAUACAGGGUGACAGCCCCGUACACAAAAAUGCACAUGCUGUGAGCUCGAUGAGUAGGGCGGGACACGUGGUAUCCUGUCUGAAUAUGGGGGGACCAUCCUCCAAGGCUAAAUACUCCUGACUGACCGAUAGUGAACCAGUACCGUGAGGGAAAGGCGAAAAGAACCCCGGCGAGGGGAGUGAAAAAGAACCUGAAACCGUGUACGUACAAGCAGUGGGAGCACGCUUAGGCGUGUGACUGCGUACCUUUUGUAUAAUGGGUCAGCGACUUAUAUUCUGUAGCAAGGUUAACCGAAUAGGGGAGCCGAAGGGAAACCGAGUCUUAACUGGGCGUUAAGUUGCAGGGUAUAGACCCGAAACCCGGUGAUCUAGCCAUGGGCAGGUUGAAGGUUGGGUAACACUAACUGGAGGACCGAACCGACUAAUGUUGAAAAAUUAGCGGAUGACUUGUGGCUGGGGGUGAAAGGCCAAUCAAACCGGGAGAUAGCUGGUUCUCCCCGAAAGCUAUUUAGGUAGCGCCUCGUGAAUUCAUCUCCGGGGGUAGAGCACUGUUUCGGCAAGGGGGUCAUCCCGACUUACCAACCCGAUGCAAACUGCGAAUACCGGAGAAUGUUAUCACGGGAGACACACGGCGGGUGCUAACGUCCGUCGUGAAGAGGGAAACAACCCAGACCGCCAGCUAAGGUCCCAAAGUCAUGGUUAAGUGGGAAACGAUGUGGGAAGGCCCAGACAGCCAGGAUGUUGGCUUAGAAGCAGCCAUCAUUUAAAGAAAGCGUAAUAGCUCACUGGUCGAGUCGGCCUGCGCGGAAGAUGUAACGGGGCUAAACCAUGCACCGAAGCUGCGGCAGCGACGCUGAUGCGUUGUUGGGUAGGGGAGCGUUCUGUAAGCCUGUGAAGGUGUACUGUGAGGUAUGCUGGAGGUAUCAGAAGUGCGAAUGCUGACAUAAGUAACGAUAAAGCGGGUGAAAAGCCCGCUCGCCGGAAGACCAAGGGUUCCUGUCCAACGUUAAUCGGGGCAGGGUGAGUCGACCCCUAAGGCGAGGCCGAAAGGCGUAGUCGAUGGGAAACAGGUUAAUAUUCCUGUACUUGGUGUUACUGCGAAGGGGGGACGGAGAAGGCUAUGUUGGCCGGGCGACGGUUGUCCCGGUUUAAGCGUGUAGGCUGGUUUUCCAGGCAAAUCCGGAAAAUCAAGGCUGAGGCGUGAUGACGAGGCACUACGGUGCUGAAGCAACAAAUGCCCUGCUUCCAGGAAAAGCCUCUAAGCAUCAGGUAACAUCAAAUCGUACCCCAAACCGACACAGGUGGUCAGGUAGAGAAUACCAAGGCGCUUGAGAGAACUCGGGUGAAGGAACUAGGCAAAAUGGUGCCGUAACUUCGGGAGAAGGCACGCUGAUAUGUAGGUGAAGUCCCUCGCGGAUGGAGCUGAAAUCAGUCGAAGAUACCAGCUGGCUGCAACUGUUUAUUAAAAACACAGCACUGUGCAAACACGAAAGUGGACGUAUACGGUGUGACGCCUGCCCGGUGCCGGAAGGUUAAUUGAUGGGGUCAGCGCAAGCGAAGCUCUUGAUCGAAGCCCCGGUAAACGGCGGCCGUAACUAUAACGGUCCUAAGGUAGCGAAAUUCCUUGUCGGGUAAGUUCCGACCUGCACGAAUGGCGUAAUGAUGGCCAGGCUGUCUCCACCCGAGACUCAGUGAAAUUGAACUCGCUGUGAAGAUGCAGUGUACCCGCGGCAAGACGGAAAGACCCCGUGAACCUUUACUAUAGCUUGACACUGAACAUUGAGCCUUGAUGUGUAGGAUAGGUGGGAGGCUUUGAAGUGUGGACGCCAGUCUGCAUGGAGCCGACCUUGAAAUACCACCCUUUAAUGUUUGAUGUUCUAACGUUGACCCGUGAUCCGGGUUGCGGACAGUGUCUGGUGGGUAGUUUGACUGGGGCGGUCUCCUCCUAAAGAGUAACGGAGGAGCACGAAGGUUGGCUAAUCCUGGUCGGACAUCAGGAGGUUAGUGCAAUGGCAUAAGCCAGCUUGACUGCGAGCGUGACGGCGCGAGCAGGUGCGAAAGCAGGUCAUAGUGAUCCGGUGGUUCUGAAUGGAAGGGCCAUCGCUCAACGGAUAAAAGGUACUCCGGGGAUAACAGGCUGAUACCGCCCAAGAGUUCAUAUCGACGGCGGUGUUUGGCACCUCGAUGUCGGCUCAUCACAUCCUGGGGCUGAAGUAGGUCCCAAGGGUAUGGCUGUUCGCCAUUUAAAGUGGUACGCGAGCUGGGUUUAGAACGUCGUGAGACAGUUCGGUCCCUAUCUGCCGUGGGCGCUGGAGAACUGAGGGGGGCUGCUCCUAGUACGAGAGGACCGGAGUGGACGCAUCACUGGUGUUCGGGUUGUCAUGCCAAUGGCACUGCCCGGUAGCUAAAUGCGGAAGAGAUAAGUGCUGAAAGCAUCUAAGCACGAAACUUGCCCCGAGAUGAGUUCUCCCUGACUCCUUGAGAGUCCUGAAGGAACGUUGAAGACGACGACGUUGAUAGGCCGGGUGUGUAAGCGCAGCGAUGCGUUGAGCUAACCGGUACUAAUGAACCGUGAGGCUUAACCUU
rnacentral:rRNA from 1 species